rnacentral:ribozyme from 1 species
AUUGGUUUUUUUUUUUUUUUUUUUUUUUUUUUUUUUUUUUUUUUUUUU